GUACGGAGGUGCAGGGCUGUCGCUGACCCUCAAGGUCGUGCACGCCCAAGCACGCUCUCACACAAUCCAUCUCACCCCUUUGUGCAUCACCGCGUGGGUCCCCCCCUUUGUGGGAGGGCUUGCGUUUUCACAUAAAACUCGAUACAGUGUAGAAUGUUCUUUUUUGCGGUCACACGCAAUCAAUACAACUUUCAACAACGGAUCUCUUGGCUCUCGCAUCGAUGAAGAACGCAGCGAAAUGCGAUACGUAAUGUGAAUUGCAGAAUUCAGUGAAUCAUCGAAUCUUUGAACGCACCUUGCGCCCCUUGGCAUUCCGAGGGGCACACCCGUUUGAGUGUCGUGAAAUUCUCAAAAACCCUUUCCUUUUGAUCGGAUUUUUGGACUUGGAGGUUCAAUGCUCGCCUUCAACUUUUGAAAGCGAGCUCCUCUCAAAUACAUUAGUGGGGUCCGCUUUGCUGGUCCUUGACGUGAUAAGAUGUUUCUACGUUUUGGAUUUGGCACUGUCCCUUUGGAUCCUGCUCCCAACUCGUCCGUCUCACGGACAACGAUGGUGCUCCGGUCACCGCCAUUUACAUCGGCGGGAGGCUGGACCCACAAAAACGAACCUUGACCUCAAAUCGGGUGAGACUACCCGCUGAACUUAAGCAUAUCAA
rnacentral:rRNA from 1 species